UUAGAGUUUGAUCCUGGCUCAGAUUCUACGCUGGCGGCAGGCCUAACACAUGCAAGUCGAGCGGAUGAGUGGAGCUUGCUCCAUGAUUCAGCGGCGGACGGGUGAGUAAUGCCUAGGAAUCUGCCUGGUAGUGGGGGACAACGUUUCGAAAGGAACGCUAAUACCGCAUACGUCCUACGGGAGAAAGCAGGGGACCUUCGGGCCUUGCGCUAUCAGAUGAGCCUAGGUCGGAUUAGCUAGUAGGUGAGGUAAAGGCUCACCUAGGCGACGAUCCGUAACUGGUCUGAGAGGAUGAUCAGUCACACUGGAACUGAGACACGGUCCAGACUCCUACGGGAGGCAGCAGUGGGGAAUAUUGGACAAUGGGCGAAAGCCUGAUCCAGCCAUGCCGCGUGUGUGAAGAAGGUCUUCGGAUUGUAAAGCACUUUAAGUUGGGAGGAAGGGCAGUAAGUUAAUACCUUGCUGUUUUGACGUUACCAACAGAAUAAGCACCGGCUAACUUCGUGCCAGCAGCCGCGGUAAUACGAAGGGUGCAAGCGUUAAUCGGAAUUACUGGGCGUAAAGCGCGCGUAGGUGGUUCAGCAAGUUGGAGGUGAAAUCCCCGGGCUCAACCUGGGAACUGCCUCCAAAACUACUGAGCUAGAGUACGGUAGAGGGUAGUGGAAUUUCCUGUGUAGCGGUGAAAUGCGUAGAUAUAGGAAGGAACACCAGUGGCGAAGGCGACUACCUGGACUGAUACUGACACUGAGGUGCGAAAGCGUGGGGAGCAAACAGGAUAAGAUCCCCUGGUAGUCCACGCCGUAAACGAUGU
rnacentral:rRNA from 1 species